AUCUAACAUAUAAUAUAGAAAAACAUGUUGUAUAAAAACAUAACAAAAUACUCCACGUAUUUCCGGUUUUUUCAAGUUAUAAGAAAACUAUAAAAUAUAAUGACUUCCUCAAUACAUUAACUGGACAAAACUUCCUUUCAAAAAAGAUGCUACACUCGAAAUUAGAGGCAAGAUUAUUGAUAGAAAAACGAAAUCGAAGACAUUAAAAAUAAUGAAAUCUUUAUUGCAUAAAUUUGCCCUACAC